AGAGUUACCUGAGCUGCGCUGAGCGCGCGUAUCCCUGGAAAUAGCGGAGGCGCGCGAACAGGUAGAACAGUCCGCACAGGGCUGCGGCUCCUGCGAGAGGCGAGGCGAGGCGGCGCGGUGAGCACGAGUUCCCGCCAUCCGGGAUCUCCCCCACCCCCGAAGUGUGCCCCCACGCUGUCCCGCACCUUCGUGGAAGAAGAUGCCGGCGACCCAGAGUGUGGCGAGGAACAGCGGAAAGUACUCGCUGCAGUUUACCCUGCGAGGGGUAGGCUGGGUGAGCGCGUGGCCCGCCUUGGCUGACACCCGAACCCGCCCGGACCCGCCGCGCUCACUGGGCUCGGAAGAUGCGCUCGAACUCGGGAGGGCCAGAGCUCCCUGCAAAGCUUUACACUUGGGCUGUCAAGAUGGCUCAGCUAGUCUUCCACCACAUCUGAUGACAUGAUUAUAAUCCCUGGGACCCACUUGGGGAAGCCAACUCCAGCAAGUUAAUCUUCUAGUCUCCACAGGCAUGCUGUGGCAUACAUCUACCGACAUCCACAUAUUAUUUUAAAAUGUAGUGAGAAAAAUUCAAAGUUGUGCUAUCCAAGUUGAAAUCCUACAUCAUCAAGGCCUCUUUUCCCCUCUAAAGGAGCCACUGAAAUGGAAACCCCACUGCUUCCUUAGAGAGACUUCUCUUGUAGGCCCAAUCCCGGGUUGAACAGCUCAGCGAGCAUCACACCAGUGAGAAGGCCCUUCCUCUGUAGAGAAAUCAAGAACACUACCCACUCUGAAGUUUACACUCACAAGACCCUCACAUCAAGCUUUAAUAGGGUAGCAUCAACCUGACAUGGCAAAUCUAUCUGGUCAGGGCUUCACACUCAAAGGACUUACUGACAAGUCAGACUCAGGUCGCUUUUUAAAGCUAAGCUCGGUGGUGUACAUCUUUAAUCUCAGCACUUGGGAAGUAGGAACAAGCGGAUCUCUGAAUUUGAGGCCAGCCUGGUCUAUAGAGCAAGUUCCAGAACAGCCAGGACUACACACACACACACACACACACACACACACACACACACAGUGUGCCCCCCAAAAAUAAAUAAAUAAAAGUUUUGAUUUUC
rnacentral:lncRNA from 1 species